GGGGAAGUUAGGGUUGUUCAUCUGCAUGGAGGAGAAUGUGGGGUUUUUCUGAUGGGUGAAUAUUUGCAUGUAGGGGUAUGGAAUUCCUACCGGCAUGGGACGAUUUGCCAUUUUUAUUAGGAUGUGAUUGGAUUUGGGACUUUCACCUGCAAGAAGUUAAAGUGUUGAUUUGAGGUUCUAGAUGAGGAUUUUAGGGAUGGAUUUGCAAUUCCCAGCUGCAUGACGGAGACUUUGGGGUUUCAGCAUGAAAGGCAAGGAGCAGCUAGGAGGAGUCUAAAAAUAAGCUCAGAACUUUGCACCAAAUCCUCCCCCUUGCACUGGCAGAUGAAGCUGAACCAUGAACCUUCCCAGCCCGGACCCAGAGUGAAGAUUAAUUUAAGGGGCAUUCAUCCAUUUAGUGGAAAUGAGUCAUUCUCAUCAGCAGUAAUGGGAAUUACAGAAGGGCUCUGGUUUCACAAAGAACCUGCUUAAACCUAAGAAAGGUAAGUACAAAUCGUAACAUGUUUCGGUUUUGUUUGGUAUCUUUAAUGAACACCACCACUAAACCUUUUUGGUAAGAUAUUCUGGGUUACCCCUUGGCGUGGAUCUUAACAGUAGCUGGUGACUGCUGGCUGGGACAGUGUCUUUCAGAGGCAGGAGAAGAAAUUAAAUCUGUUUUAUAUUAAC
rnacentral:lncRNA from 1 species